CCCAAAUUUAUUGAUAAAAACAGGACACAGACAGCCGUAUUAGAUCAGGUAUCAAAGAUAUAUUUCACUACUACAUCAUGAAAUGGCCAUGUUUAUAUCCAUAAUGUUGGUUUCUGUUCUGAGUACAAUAUGUGUAUUUAAGUCAUGCACAUUGUGAGCAAAAACCUCUUAAAUUGCCCAAAGCAAAAAUCCACAUAUUUCUCAUGUGACUGCAUGUAAACUCCUUACAGAUAUAAAUUGCAUGUAAGGUCCUUGAUAUAGCUGCAUAGAAUUUUAUUUUUUUUAUUUUUUUUAAACAUUCUCUGUGCUACCAGAUCUAAAACCGCCUGCUUGCAUGUCUGCAUAAUGCUGGAUUUUAAGGGGUUUCUCACACUCUCAGGCAGUUGAAGGUGACACAAUACAAUUCAUACACCUGCAUGUCUCUAUACAACUCCGAGAGUGUAUGAGAAAUAGG